rnacentral:rRNA from 1 species
GAUGAACGCUGGCGGCGUGCCUAAUACAUGCAAGUCGAGCGCGAGCGUAAGGAGCUUGCUCCUUACAAUCGAGCGGCGGACGGGUGAGUAACACGUGGGCAACCUACCCUUUAGACUGGGAUAACUACCGGAAACGGUGGCUAAUACCGCAUAACGUCGCAAGACCAAAGAGGGGGACCUUCGGGCCUCUCACUAUCGGAUGAACCCAGAUGGGAUUAGCUAGUAGGCGGGGUAAUGGCCCACCUAGGCGACGAUCCCUAGCUGGUCUGAGAGGAUGACCAGCCACACUGGAACGGAGAAACGGUCCAGACUCCUACGGGAGGCAGCAGUGGGGAAUAUUGCACAAUGGGCGCAAGCCUGAUGCAGCCAUGCCGCGUGUAUGAAGAAGGCCUUCGGGUUGUAAAGUACUUUCAGCGGGGAGGAAGGCGGUGCGGUUAAUAACCGUGCCGAUUGACGUUACCCGCAGAAGAAGCACCGGCUAACUCCGUGCCAGCCGCCGCCGUAA